rnacentral:misc_RNA from 1 species
UGCAGAUAGUUUCUCCUCAAAAUCGUCAAGGUUAAGAACUUGCAGUAGCUUUGGCCAAGACUCUGGGAUGCCACCUGGCAAGUCGAAUUCCAACAAUUUCCCUCUACUGCGGUAGAACUCCUCAACAGGUUGACUCUUUUCAUUAUAAACUCGAAGACGUUCUUUUACAACUGCUUCCGUAUCAUCUGCCCGAGUAAUUAGUUUUGUCAUGCAAUGUGUAGGGGGGAGAAGUGGAGCCAUGCUCAUUCCAGGUUUUCCAUUUUCACCCUUUACAUUAAUGGAGGCAAGAUUGAAGUUUUUUCCGCACUGGCCGCAGAUUCUCCUCCCAAGGCAUUUCUCAAGUAAAACAUCUUCUCGGAGCUUUAGAUUAACCACUAAGUCUAUAUCAAUCACCUCUUCCAAAAUUUCUGCUUGUCUAAUUGUCCGAGGGAAGCCAUCAAGGAUAAAUCCAGAUUCACCUUUCG